rnacentral:tRNA from 1 species
AAGAAAGUAGCUUAAUUUAAAGCUAGGCAUUGAAGAUGCCUCCAUAGGACUAUCCUCUUUCUUG